UUCUCUAUCUCUUCUCUGUCGAAUGAAGCGGCGAGAGAACAAGCGAUUGUUCUGAAAUCGGAAAAAAAAUCAAUGGAACACCACCACCACCAAAGCGACGACGGCGAUGAAGAUCGUCAAAACUUUGGGGGACCACCGCCGGGCAACAAUUUCCCCGAUGCUCUACCACAACCCCAUGGCCUUUACCAGUCACAACCUCCUUUCGAUCCUUACGCGCCUCCGCUUUACCGAUCAGAACCUCAAUUCGAGCCUCACGCUCCUCCGCCUAACUUCGGAGCUCUGGCACCACCGCCUUACUUCGAAGCUCCGCCUUACUUUGAUGCUCCGGAACCGCCGCCUCCGUUUGGUCAUGUGAGCCAUGUCGGUCAUCACUCUUCCAACGAACCCUACCCACCGGAUCACCACCGUUACGGAGCUCAUCCGCCGCCUGAUUCAACGCUAGAGAGCUACACUGUGGUUGUUUGUUGGAAGAGGAAUGCAAUUCCAAGUCAAUUUUGGAGUUAGUCAAGGAGGUUGAAACGAAGUUAGAGACGUUCAUAGAAUCUGCGGAGAAGAAGAAACUGGAGCUAGGCAGAAGUGUGGAGUUUUUGGAAGAGGAGAACAAAGACAUCAGUAUCUUGUUUAGGGCUGCUUUGUCUGAGAAACAAAAUGCAGAAAAGCAAUUGAAAGAGAAAAAUGUGCAGAAGGGAUCAGCUUUGCUGCAAAUCGCAGGACGAGGGUUGCAGAGGAUAGGUUUUGGUUUUGUGUUUGGGGAACCAUCACAGGAAAGCUCAGAAACAGGAAACCUUGUGAAGGACGAAGAAGAGAAUGGUGUGGUAUGUUUAUUACUUUUCUCACAGUCUUGUGUUUCUUUGUUUUAGCAUCAAGAAAUCAAACACCGGUUUAACUAUAAUGGAAUCUACGGCAAGAACAGGUUCAAAAGCAAGCCUGCGACAAAUUCGAUCCGUCCUUCUACCCUCGGUUCAAGAAAUGGUGUGAUGACUACUUUUACUUUAAGCAACGGAAUGAGAGGAGAGGGCUAGGAGAGAUACUUUUUGAUGAUUUGAAGAGGCUUUUGGUGUUAAUGCUGGAAUUGCUUCUGUAAGGAAACAGAUUAGAGGCAAAGAGGAUAUUGAAUAUGUGUAAGUUUCAUUUCCUCUGAGCUGCUUCAUUCACUAAUAUUGUAAUCUCUUUGUAUUAGAUGUCUUGAUGAGGUUCAUUCACUAAUAUUGUAAUCUCUUUGUAUUGUAAUCUCUUUACAUACAAUUUGACUCAAUUAAAGGUUUAAAUACAAUUAAGAAACUUGAAAUU